rnacentral:rRNA from 1 species
UGGCCCGAGGUCAAGCGAGGCUACCUACAAAGUUUAAGCAUAUCAAUAAGCGGAGG